GAAGAGGUAUCGUAAUUGAAGAGGUUUGGAAAGACCCACCACAGAAGGUAAUAGUCCUGUAUGUUAAACGAGAAGACUUCAGAUAUGAUCCAGAGUACCACGGGACACGUGAAACCCUGUGGGAAGCAGGAGGGACCACCCUCCAAGGCUAAAUACUACCUAGUGACCGAUAGCGUAUAGUACCGUGAGGGAAAGGUGAAAAGAACCCCGGGAGGGGAGUGAAAUAGAACCUGAAACCCUGCACUUACAAGCUGUGGAAGCACAUUUCUUGUGUGACCGCGUACUUUUUGUAGAACGGGCCAACGAGUUACGUUAAGUAGCAAGGUUAAGCACUUAAGGUGCGGAGCCGUAGCGAAAGCGAGUUUUAACUGAGCGUUCAGUUACUUGACGUAGACCCGAAACCGGGCGACCUACCCAUGAGCAGGAUGAAGCGAAAGUAAAAUUUCGUGGAGGUCCGAACCCACGAGCGUUGAAAAGCUCGGGGAUGACUUGUGGGUAGCGGUGAAAUUCCAAUCGAGCCCGGAGAUAGCUGGUUCUCCCCGAAAUAGCUUUAGGGCUAGCCUCAAGGUGAGAGAUACGGAGGUAGAGCACUGAAUGUCCUAGGGGGUAUUGCACCUACCGAAGACUAUCAAACUCCGAAUGCCGUCAUCUUAUACUUGGGAGUCAGACUGUGGGUGAUAAGAUUCAUAGUCGAAAGGGCAACAGCCCAGAUCGUCAGCUAAGGUCCCUAAAUGUAAGUUAAGUGGUAAAGGAUGUGGGAUUGCACAGACAACCAGGAUGUUGGCUUAGAAGCAGCCACUCAUUCAAAGAGUGCGUAAUAGCUCACUGGUCGAGUGAUCCUGCGCCGAAGAUUUCCGGGGCUAAAACUUACUACCGAAGCUACGGCAUCAGUAAUGAUGGGUAGGGGAGCUUCCCAUACGGGUUGAAGCAUGACCGUAAGGACAUGUGGACAGUAUGGGAGUGAGAAUGUUGGCAUGAGUAGCGAGAUGUGGGUGAGAAUCCCACAGGCCGUAAACCCAAGGUUUCCAGGGGAAGGUUCGUCCGCCCUGGGUUAGUCGGGACCUAAGCUGAGGCCGAAAGGCGUAGGUGAUGGACAACAGGUUGAUAUUCCUGUACUACCGAUAACCGUUUGAGAGAAGGGAUGACACAGUAGGAUAAGCUAAGCACACUGUUGGUUAUGUGUGCCCAAGCAUUGAGGCAGUCAAAGUAGGCAAAUCCGCUUUGAUAAUGCUGGGAUGUGAUGGGGAGCGAAAUUUAGUAGCGAAGUAGCUGAUUUCACACUGUCAAGAAAAGUCUCUAUCGAGGUUAAAGGUACCCGUACCGCAAACCGACACAGGUGGGUGAGGAGAGUAUCCUAAGGCCAGCGAGAGAACUGUUGUUAAGGAACUCGGCAAAAUGACCCCGUAACUUAGGGAUAAGGGGUGCCACCAUCAGGUGGCCGCAGAGAAUAGGCCCAAGCGACUGUUUACCAAAAACAUAGGUUUCUGCUAAGUCGCAAGACGAUGUAUAGGAGCUGACGCCUGCCCGGUGCUGGAAGGUUAAGGGGAUCUGUUAGAGCAAUCGAAGCAGUGAACUUAAGCCCCAGUAAACGGCGGCCGUAACUAUAACGGUCCUAAGGUAGCGAAAUUCCUUGUCGGGUAAGUUCCGACCCGCACGAAAGGCGUAACGAUUUGGGCACUGUCUCAACAACAGACUCGGUGAAAUUGUAAUUCCGGUGAAGAUGCCGGAUACCUGCGACAGGACGGAAAGACCCCAUGGAGCUUUACUGUAGCUUGACAUUGGGUCUUGGUACUACAUGUACAGGAUAGGUGGGAGGCUUUGAAACCAGGACGCCAGUUUUGGCGGAGCCAUCCUUGGGAUACCACCCUUGUAGUACUGGGACUCUAACCAUAGGCCAUGAAUCUGGUCUUGGGACACUGUCAGGUGGGCAGUUUGACUGGGGCGGUCGCCUCCCAAAAGGUAACGGAGGCGCUCAAAGGUUCUCUCAGUACGGUCGGAAAUCGUACGUAGAGUGUAAAGGCAAAAGAGAGCUUGAUUGCAAGACAUACAGGUCGAGCAAGGAUGAAAAUCGGACUUAGUGAUCCGGUGGUUCUGCGUGGAAGGGCCAUCGCUCAACGGAUAAAAGCUACCCUGGGGAUAACAGGCUUAUCUCCCCCAAGAGUCCACAUCGACGGGGAGGUUUGGCACCUCGAUGUCGGCUCAUCACAUCCUGGGGCUGUAGUAGGUCCCAAGGGUUGGGCUGUUCGCCCAUUAAAGUGGUACGCGAGCUGGGUUCAGAACGUCGUGAGACAGUUCGGUCCCUAUCCGUCGCAGGCGUAGGAAAUUUGAGAAGACCUGUCCUUAGUACGAGAGGACCGGGAUGGACGUACCUCUGGUGUACCAGUUGUNCUGCCAAGGGCAUGGCUGGGUAGCUAUGUACGGAAUGGAUAAGCGCUGAAAGCAUCUAAGCGCGAAGCCAACUUCAAGAUAAGAUUUCCCACCGCAAGGGUAAGACCCCAGAAAGACUAUCUGGUUGAUAGGUCGAAGGUGUAAGUGCAGCAAUGUAUUUAGCUUAUCGAUACUAAUAGGUCGAGGACUUGACCAA
rnacentral:rRNA from 1 species